UUACUACUCCAUCCAUCCGAAAAAGCUUGUCCCUCAAAUGGAUGUAUGUAGCAUCAAGUUAGUGCUAGAUACAUCCAUUUGGGGAAUAAGCUUGAGACAAGCUUUUUCGGACUGAGGGAGUAUAUG
rfam:Triticum aestivum genome assembly, contig: Triticum_aestivum_CS42_TGACv1_scaffold_031380_1BL